rnacentral:rRNA from 1 species
UGCGGUUAUACAAAAAUUAAAUUGAAUUUUUUUAGGAUUUAAUAAGUAAAUGUUAAUUUAAUAAAUUAAAUUUUAAGUUAUAAGGUGAAAUUUUAGCUUAAUUAAAUUUUAUUUUUUUUUAUUAUAUUAAUAAAUUUUAUAAAAAACUAGGAUUAGAUACCCUAUUAUAAAAAUUUAAAUUUAACAAUCUUAAAAUAGUAUAUAAUUUUUUAUAGAAACUUAAAUAAUUUGGCGGUAUUUUAGUUCAUUUAGAGGAAUCUGUCUAAUAAUUGAUAAUCCACGAUUAAAUUUACUUAAUUUACAAUUUUGUAUAUCGUUGUUAAAAAAAUAUUUUUAAAUAAUUAUAAUAUUUUAAAAUUUAAAAAUAAACUUAAAUCAGAUCAAGAUGCAGAUUAUAAUUAAGAAUAUGAUGGAUUACAAUAAGUUUUAUUUGUUGGAUAUUAGUUUGGAAUAAAUUAAUUGAAAUUGGAUUUAAAUGUAAUUUUAUUGAUUUAAUUAAAAUGAUUAAUAAUUAAAAUAUGUACAUAUUGCCCGUCGCUUUCAUUUAUAAAUUGAAAUAAGUCGUAACAAAGUAGAGGUACUGGAAAGUGUUUCUAGAAAGAG